GAUGACACCUAAACAGAUUGUGUAAUUACCUUUGCCCUGGUGGCCCUGGACUGCAACAGAGAUUUCCAAGUCCUAAAGCAGUUGUGCAGCGGAAGUAAAAACAGGUGGAUAUUACUUCUCACAGCUUCUUCAGGGUACUUUGGAAGAGGUGAGCUGCAGGGUAUAUCUUCUGAAGAUCCCCACCCUGGAUCCUGCAGCAAUUUCUGCCAAUAUGCGGGAGGACAGUGAUAAUGAAGAACAAAAUAAUAAACAUGUUAUACUCUC